rnacentral:lncRNA from 1 species
UUGCUUGUAUACUUUUAUCUGAUGGGUUGUGCAGCAAGAUCAACCAUUUUCUUCAGACUCCUCCAAAUAGAGUAUGCAACACCUCCUACUAAAUGUAAUGUAAAAAUGAGAUGCAACUAAAGAGAAGAUACACAAGUAAUGUAAGCAAUUUAAAAACAAAAUUAGCACAUGUGUGCGGCCAUCAAAAGCACAUUCAAAUAUGUACAGUCUGGUAAUAUAUAACACAACUCAUUCACAUUGAUUUGUACGGCUUCGGUACAGCCGUGUCAUUGAAUAUCAAGGAAAUAGUAAACUAUUGCACAAAGAGAUGAUGCACUACAUAUCAUGUUUGUAAACAAGUUCACUCUUCCAGAUUCUCAAGUCCUAUGCAUGAGAUAACAUGGCAAAGAAGCAACAGGAACAUUCAUUGUGGACCAUGAGAAACAGCAGUAUAAAAAAGAGUUCACUUUUUUUUUGCUUACAGUAUAGGAUAAAUUUAAUAGCUUGUUCAAUGGCACCAACCUAAAAGUGCUACCAAAUCUGUGGUGAAAUGAAUAGUAAAAGGAACGCUUCCUUAGAAAGAAAGUCACCAAUUUUUAUCUAUUGUAAAGAGAAAAGAGGAACGCUUUCUUAGAAAAAUGAGCACACACAAAAACAAGCUUUGCACAACCAACUCUUGGUGCCCCUAGAGCGUAACAAGUUCGUUGGGCCUGUAAUGACCAUGAUUUCCAUCGUGUUUUUUCUCUUCUGUAGAUAUGCUCUCCUGUAUUAAUAUUGAAAGAACGAAGUAAGUUUCUCACUAAUAAUCACAAGACAAAGAUGCUGGGAAACUAACCCUUACUGCUACAGGAUAAAAAAUAAUACUCCCUGUGUAAAGAAAUAUAAGGACGUUUAGAUAACUAGAGGGAGUAGUUUCUAACAUAAAUAUUAGUGUCAACUGAACUCUCAUAAGUAAGACACCUCCUUGGUAAGCUCAAUUACCACAAAUUGAAUGUUAAUUCUGUAUAGGAUUACACUAAAGAAAAACAUGAAAUCAUUUAUAAGUUGACUAUUUGUGGGGCCUCAUUGGGGUUUUAUAUUUUGAAGGGACAUACACACAGGAUAGUAGUUCCAUCGUGAUGAGUACUUUUCUACUAACAACCAUCACCACAAAUAGCAUACCCAAGACUGGACCUGGAGCAUUUGGUACAUAUCACUCAUAUCUAGCAAAGGCAGCUAUAGGUGUUAUAUAACAACCUACAAGCUCAACAAUUAAGACAUGUUUGUAUCUUGCAAAAGAAACAUGUGACGUUUUAUCAAUCAAGAUAAAAUUAAGCGAUCCAAGUAAACAUGCUCAAACAAUAAUUAUCUGGAAAAAAACUAUUUUCCCUGCUACAUGUAAAUCCAAUACCCAUUCAAUACUUGGCAUCACUAAACGAGAAAUCUAAAUGACAAAAAUAGUAAUCUCUGCUCCUACUUGAAUGAGCUCAACAAAUAUGACACCAUGCACUCCACAUCAUAAACACUAGAAAUCACCAUGGCUAGCACAUAAUUUCUCUAGCAAUAGGGCUCCAUGGUCGUGGACUCGCGCAGAACACGAGCGUUAGCAUGAGCGAAGCAGAGUAGAGGGGCAGUUGGUUGCUUACCAGAUAUGCCGGAGAGGAAGAAGAACGACCGGAUUCAUCAAAGUGGAAGAAGAAUCACAAGGUGGUUGUGUCCUGCACCGCCACCUGCGCACAUCAGAAAGUGCAUCAGGGAACCAAGCCAUGAUCGUGCAUCAGGGAACCAAGCCAUGAUCGCUUAUGCAUCAGGGCUACCAAAUCGAACAAAACAGGGGAGGGGG